UAUAAGCUACAUUGUUCGUAAUGAUAAUUAAGUUUUAACCUUUAUGCUGUUAUAGGGAGUUUUACAUUGAUGCAUAAAUGUCAAGCCUUCAUUACGUAGAGGAAGACAGGACUGUAUCUGCAAACACCCACUUUGAGGAGUGGUGGUUUAAAACUUUCUUAUGUGAGUUACGGCAAAUGCGGCUUAUCA
rnacentral:other from 1 species